CUGACGUGCCUGGUGCUGCUGUUGCUGGGGCCGGAGGGCGCCCUGGGGGAGGAGCUGCAGCUGGAAGAUCCUCCCAGGCCCAGACUGACUGAAUGGCUGACUGGCUUCGGCCCGUUCAAUAAGUUCUUGGAGAAGUUCUUCAACGGCAGCUUGAAGUCUAAGGACACCAAGAAAUCUAAAGAUGUUGAAAACCACAGGAAAACCGCUAACGCCACAAAAACCUCACCAGCGAACGCCACGAAACUCCCCCCGCUGCACACCGGGAAAGCCGACCAUGAGUCUCCUCCCAGGGCCCCAGGUAGGAGACCCUGAGCACGGCGGGCACCAGUCAGGGGCCUCAGAACUGGGGGGAGCGAGAGGAAGCCCUGGGGGGCCGGGGGUAUAGGCCCCCCCCCCCCACUUCCUUCUCCAGUCCGGACCUUGACCUCCAGACGCUCAACUCCAGUCUCCCUGCCCACCGACCCCUUUGUAUUCUGAGAGAGGCCUUAACUCCUCCCCACUUCCCAGUGAGAACAAUAAAGAGAAAUAAAAUCUC